CACUUCCCAGACCGACACCUUUUCCUCCCCCUUCUUGUUAUCUUCCUCCUCCUCAUCCCCCUCCCAUGGCUGCUCCUCCCUAAAAUCGCCCCACUGCAGCACCUAAUCCUUGAGGGGAAGUAGCAAAACGGAACGAGGAGAGCGAGAGGAGCAUGGAGAAGAGUAUCUUCGGGGUGGAUUGGCCUUCUCCUUCUCUUCCCGUUACCCUAGGGUUUGGGAAAAACCAAGGUUAUCCUUGAAGCUAGCAUGAAGGGAAGUGGGUUAGUUGCACGCCAUACACUUCUCCCGGAUCUCAUAAUGUUUUAGUGCAUAAUUCUGAAUUUGUUAGAUCUUAUAGUAACUUAAAUCAUAUCUAUACAUGAUGUAGAGUUAUCUUGUUAGAUAAUCACGCUUUUCAUAUACAUCUAUAUAUCGUUGCUUCCGCGUC